AUUGAACGCUGGCGGCAGGCCUAACACAUGCAAGUCGAACGAGUGGCGGACGGGUGAGUAAUGUCUGGGAAACUGCCUGAUGGAGGGGGAUAACUACUGGAAACGGUAGCUAAUACCGCAUACCAUCGGAUGUGCCCAGAUGGGAUUAGCUAGUAGGUGGGGUAAAGGCUCACCUAGGCGACUAUCCCGAGCUGGUCUGAGAGGAUGACCAGCCACACUGGACCUGAGACACGGUCCAGACCCCUACGGGCUGCAGCAGUGGGGAAUAGUGCACAAUGGGCGAAAGCCUGAUGCAGCCAUGCCGCGUGUAUGAAGAAGGCCUUCGGGUUGUAAAGUACUUUCAGCGGGGAGGCGUUACCCGCAGAAGAAGCACCGGCUAACUCCGUGCCAGCAGCCGCGGUAAUAC
rnacentral:rRNA from 1 species